rnacentral:lncRNA from 1 species
AAGAUAAUUUUGUAUUUACGAAAGAAAGAAAAAGUUUCUUCUUAUAAAAAUAAAAGCCUAGAAAUAGGUUAACAACGAAAUUAUAAUCCUAAAUUUCCGAGUGUUAUCGCCUCUAAAAAAAGAGAGAAAUCUUUAUCACUGUUUCGAGUGAUGAGAGUCACCUGAUGCGUGCUCGACCUGUUUGGUAGCCCGGGGUUGGAGACCCACUUACUUUUAUCAUAUCCUAGAUACAUCCAACCGAGCGUGAACAAAAAAUCUCUGACAGCCUUCGGAACUUUUAUACGAUAAUAUUUAAUAUACGCUGACAAUAUUUAUUUUUCUGGUAUAAAAUUUUUCUUGGAUAAAAAAUUAAAAUUGUGAUCUGAGCGGAGAAUAUUAGCAAAACCAAAAAUCUUCGAAAAAACCGAUUGUUCGAUAAUAAUAAAACUAAAAGGAAAAUAUAUAUAGGAUGUUAUGUAAAUGUGUAUAGAUUCGAUCAAAUGCACUUUGGAAACAAAAAUAGCAUUUUCUUGGAACUUCGGAAGGCGAGAAACUAUAAUAAAAGGAAGCAAAAUAACCUGGCAAUUCACUUCCAGCAGAAAUGAUGGCAUUUGACACACAAUUACUUGGAUUUCGUCUAAAGUGCUUUCUGGUAACCGAAUGGAUAGGAAAUGGAGGUGAGAACUCUCAUUUUAGAGUUUUCCCCAUUUUGCCCUGGAGUAAAGCGACUCGAAAUACCACCAGUGUUUUUAUUCUCACCUCACGACGGAGUGUUAUUUAAAGUGCUUCUUCAACUGAUUUAUUUAUAGCUUGUCUAUAAGGUUUCUUUUGUUAAAGACAAUUUUAUUAAUGGCUAACGAACAUUAGCUAAUCUGUGAAUUAGCCUAAGCUUAUUAGCCAAUAUCAUUUUUACUAUCUCGAUAACAUUAAUCUAAUGUUCUAGAAUAUUUUAUUUAAUUAAGCUAUCUCGACCGAUAUAGACUAUAUGUAUAUGUAGCAUUUUUCUGAAUUAUCUUGAGUCGUUUUAGCCCAUGUUUACCGUAUAUUCUAUAUUAUUAUAUUACGUUUUUUUUUAAAGAAUCUUGCAAUUAAUUAAUUAGCAUCGAAAUAUUAUUUUACCUAGUCUAAAAUAAUAUUGUAAUUUAUUUUUUUGUUUAUUAUCCUUAUUUUUAGAAUUAAAAUGUUAACAGUCGCUAAGGGACCCAGCGACAAUUCCUUUUGUUUAUAGAUCGAAAGUGUGUUUAUGUCUUUGGCCACCGAAGUGGAACCUUUCGCUUGGCCAGAUACGGGGUUUUAGUGACGUCGACUCGGAUUACCAUCCUAUCACGUGACCUAACUAAUUUCCGCUCCAUCGAGACGUCACAUCCGUUUACGUUGUUUCCUAAAUUGGUUUCGGCCAUCGGCUGAUUGGAUAGGUACAAUCCUCCGGCUGGUUGUCUAAUACUGGAAAAAACUGGUAUUUAAUUACUAUCAGGAAUAAAGCCCUAUGUUCUCCGAACAUAGCUGUCUCUGAUAGCCGGUGAAAACUUAUCCAGCAAAAUAAAAACCUUGGUACUUUGCAUCACGCUACAAAUAUGCCAUUCGUUAAUUGAUAUUCUUUUUUUUAUCAGUAAGGUGUCUUCUUUAUCGGUAAUAUUCAUCAAAAUACAGUACACGCUAAUUAAAUUCAUUAAUGUUUUUAACUGAAGUAAGCUACAUUUGGCCUUAAAUUUAGGAAAAAAAGUUACAGAUAAUAAUCCGAAAUGAGUGAAUAUAAUAAAUUUGUAUGAUAACAUUUUAAAUUUAGAGAAAAUUUUCCUAAUAAACUCCGGUAUUACGGUAUUAAUAAUAACAGUUAUUUUACAGCCUAGGAAAUACGGGCUGAUGGUGAUGCCUUCUGAAACAACCUGUCAGAAACAAUAUAAAAACAAAUAAAUAGAAAUUAUAUACGCAAAUACAAAAUAAUCAUUAUAAUUACAAUAGAAGCAUGGCAUUUUAAUUAUCGGCCCCUCUAUCCAGCCAUCGUUGAAUUCGCGAUGUGGUAUAAUGCUUAAUACGAAUAAACUAGUAACUUCUAUCAUUUAUACAAGAUAAAUUAAUAAAAUAUAGUCGCUGGGAGAAAUCCUCCUGAAAUAUAUUAUAGAAAAUAAUUGAAUACCUGGCCAUUCAUAUUUUACGUUUAUCAGUAAUAUUAAGGUCGCCUAAUAUUACUUUAGCGGCGCCUCCAUACUAUUAAUUAAUCGCUGUUUAUGCACUAUUACUCUAUUUUUCUGCAUAUUAGUAUUGUUUCAAAUCAAUUUCGAUUCUUUUAGACACACCAUAAUGAAAAUAAUUUUACAUCAUGAAUCGGCCUAGGUGACGCUUAAUUUUAUCAACGUAGGCCUCUUCCUAUUUAUGCCAUUAUUAUUAUUCAGUGAGAAAUAAAAUGGUAUCGAUUUUCACAUCUACAUAAAACUUGGAAAAACAAAUUGAACUUUAAAACUUAUCAGACGAUGCAUGGAAGCACGUAACACGAUAGACGACAAUCUAAUAAUCGGAAAAGAUAGCAUUGUUACUAGACAUGAAUGAAAUGGCAUUGGAAACAGGUUAGAAACUGUUGCCAGGUCUGGGAAACAGCCUUAGGGCGCUUACUACGCCAAGACAACAAUGGAUGGUAGGUAAAUGGUACGGGAAGUGUUAACUCUGUUCGUGUCAAAUCCGUUUUCUAAUUUAAUUUAGCCAACUGCCACCCAGAUUUCCCUGAGAAUCUUCCCAAGUUAUUAAAAUAAAUUUCCGGUAGCAUUAUAAUAAAAGCCAUAAUUAAACUUGGAAAUUGGGUUCGAAAGUCUAAAAAAUUAUUCCCUGGUUUCGUCAUCGUCAUUAAUUAUGGCUGAUAAAGCCAAUAUCGGGUUUUCUGAUACGAAUUUCUUUAUUAACUGUAUUCAAAGUUAACAAUUUUCUGAUUUUUUUCUCCCUUCUUGGUCAAAUGAAUUGAAGCGUUAUAUACUGUAUUCUUCGGUGUUAAUAAUUUUAUUAGGGCAUUGUAAUGAUCAUGUAUCAGUAGACAAAAUUUAGGAAAAUACUGUCCAAGGAGAGCUUUAGGAAACAAGAAAAAUGUCUACUGUCUGAGCUAAGUUUUGUCAUGACUAGGCAUGAUGGAUGGCGCGGUUGUCUUAGAGUGUAAACCUCUAGAUAUAUCCGCGAUAUUGACUGUCAAAAGAUGAUGGGUCAAAAAAGGAAUCUUCGUAUUUCCAUUACAUAUAUGUGUUCUAAAGGAACACGAUCCUACACCUUCAUAUUCUUCAACCAUCUUUAUAAGAUUUCGAAACAAUCGAGACAAGUUGGAAACCGAGAUGUAGCGAACUUUGAACCGCUAUCGACGCUCCGGAGCCAAUAUGUGCAACGCACGUACAGGCUCCGAAGUAAUACGAUGCUGUUAGAGCAAUUCACUCUAUGGCUCCAUUUUACAACUCGUCAGUCGGAGUCAAAGUUCAAGGGGCGGUAGGCCAGGCUCUGUUGGGUUAAUGGUCUGUCGUGUCCGAUAAUAGUUUUCUUUUUCCUGUAUGGUAAAAUCUGUCGUCUGACCAAUAAAAAUAUAUAUUUAUGUAUUUUGAUUUUUUUUAUCUAUCGCAGAUUUUUAUGAUAGACCGAUGACGUAUUAAUCCGUAACGCUUUUUUAAAUUAUAAAUGUGCUCAUUGGCAUUAAGAUUCUGGGAUGGUACCAGAAAUAUUCAAUUAAUUAUUUUACCAUUUAUAUAAUUCUGUAUUAUUAUACAGAGUUAUAUAAAUAUCAGUUUCAGCUAUAAUUUAGAGAAAGGCUGUCAGGAUAUAAUCCGAGCUGGAUGAAGUAAAUUAAAUUAACGGUCCUAUACAAGCGUAAGAUGAUUUAUCAGAUAAAAAAAAUAGUCUCAUCUCGAAGGGCGGUUUACUGUAUAAAUUUUACCCGAAGAAAUACACUGAUAGAAAAAAAAUUCGAUUGAAU